UGAGGAAUAUUGGUCAAUGGACGAGAGUCUGAACCAGCCAAGUAGCGUGAAGGAUGACUGCCCUAUGGGUUGUAAACUUCUUUUAUACGGGAAUAAAGUGGAGUAUGCAUACUCCUUUGUAUGUACCGUAUGAAUAAGGAUCGGCUAACUCCGUGCCAGCAGCCGCGGUAAUACGGAGGAUCCGAGCGUUAUCCGGAUUUAUUGGGUUUAAAGGGAGCGUAGGCGGGUGCUUAAGUCAGUUGUGAAAGUUUGCGGCUCAACCGUAAAAUUGCAGUUGAUACUGGGCGCCUUGAGUGCAGCAUAGGUAGGCGGAAUUCGUGGUGUAGCGGUGAAAUGCUUAGAUAUCACGAAGAACUCCGAUUGCGAAGGCAGCUUACUGGACUGUAACUGACGCUGAUGCUCGAAAGUGUGGGUAUCAAACAGGAUUAGAUACCCUGGUAGUCCACACAGUAAACGAUGAAUACUCGCUGUUGGCGAUACACAGUCAGCGGCCAAGCGAAAGCAUUAAGUAUUCCACCUGGGGAGUACGCCGGCAACGGUGAAACUCAAAGGAAUUGACGGGGGCCCGCACAAGCGGAGGAACAUGUGGUUUAAUUCGAUGAUACGCGAGGAACCUUACCCGGGCUUAAAUUGCAGCGGAAUGUAGUGGAAACAUUACAGCCUUCGGGUCGCUGUGAAGGUGCUGCAUGGUUGUCGUCAGCUCGUGCCGUGAGGUGUCGGCUUAAGUGCCAUAACGAGCGCAACCCUUAUCUAUAGUUACUAUCAGGUCAUGCUGAGGACUCUAUGGAGACUGCCGUCGUAAGAUGUGAGGAAGGUGGGGAUGACGUCAAAUCAGCACGGCCCUUACGUCCGGGGCUACACACGUGUUACAAUGGGGGGUACAGAAGGCAGCUACCUGGCGACAGGAUGCUAAUCCCUAAAACCUCUCUCAGUUCGGAUUGGAGUCUGCAACCCGACUCCAUGAAGCUGGAUUCGCUAGUAAUCGCGCAUCAGCCACGGCGCGGUGAAUACGUUCCC
rnacentral:rRNA from 1 species